rnacentral:rRNA from 1 species
AGAGUUUGAUCCUGGCUCAGGAUGAACGCUAGCUACAGGCUUAACACAUGCAAGUCGAGGGGCAGCAUGUUGGUUGCUUGCAACCAAUGAUGGCGACCGGCGCACGGGUGAGUAACGCGUAUCCAACCUACCCUUGUCCAUCGGAUAACCCGUCGAAAGGCGGCCUAACACGAUAUGCGGUUCUCAGCAGGCAUCUAACGAGAACGAAAUGUGAAGGAGAAGGAUGGGGAUGCGUCUGAUUAGGCUUGUUGGCGGGGUAACGGCCACCAAGGCGACGAUCAGUAGGGUUCUGAGAGGAAGGUCCCCCANAUUGGAACUGAGACACGGUCCAAACUCCGUACGGGAGGCA